rnacentral:rRNA from 1 species
GGACUACCCGGGUUUCUAAUCCGUUUUGCUCCCCACGCUUUCAUGCCUCAAUGUCAGUAACAGAAUAGUUAACUGCCUUCGCCUUAUUGGUGUUCUUCUAUAUAUCGUCACAUUUUACCGCUCCAUAUAGAGUUCCGUUAACUUCUCCUGUACUCAAGUAUGACAGUAUUACCGGCUUCCACGAGGUUGAGCCUCGAUUUUCCACCAGCAACUUAUCACACCAUCUACGCAUCCUUUACGCCCAAUAAUUCCGGAUAACGUUCGCCACCUAUGUCUUACCGCGGCUGCUGGCAC